rnacentral:lncRNA from 1 species
UAUAAACCUAUUAUUUCUCUAAAAAAAAAAAAAAAAUGGGGUCCCAAAAGGCAAAAGCCUUACUUGGAACAACGUUAGAGCCGGACCUGUUCAAGAGAAGCACUUCAUCACAUAAAUCACUUCCAUUUGGGCAAAGUACCUUCUUAAUUACGGAGUAUUUGCAGAGUAUAGAAAUCAAAAUAUUAAAAAGACAAUAUUUAAAGAUACAAACUUCUGAUAGAAUGAAAAGUUAUCUGAUAAUACAACUGUCUAGAGUCAUCUAAUAAGCAGAGUACACUUCAAAUAAGGCGAAGCCUCUCAAUGAUUACAAUUUACAGGAUACUAAUUAUAUUUUCUUAUCAUAGGUAUUCUCUUUCAUUUUCUAUUGUGGACCACAACAAUAUAAUAAUAUCUACCCUUAAAUGAAAAAGAAAAAAAUUAAGUAGUUAAACCAAUAUUAUAUAAUUUACAAAAAGCAUGGCGGUUCGUGCAAGCUUCCUUUAGCUCAUCAUUCUCGACAUUUCUUUACCAACCAACAAAUCCUAAGAAGCUGCACUCAAGAAAAUUUAAACCCAUAUAUUAAAAUCAAAUCAAAUAGUAGACCGGAAAUAUUCAGCUAAGUAAUACAUAAAAAUAUACUCCUUUGAAACCUAAUUUAUUCCGAAAACUUUUAAUUCUAGAGAACUCUCAUUUUUAUUUUUUGCUCUUCAUUUCCCCACUUUGUAGUCUAUCUAUAGAGAAGUGUAUUUAGACUAAUAAAUUGAGCAAAAUAGUGAACAAUAAGACAAUUAAGCAAUCUGAAAAGUGAGUAGUUUUUGACUUUUGAUGUGUAAGGUAAGAUAGGAAAAAAGGAAAGCAUAUAAAAUUUUCGUUCCCCAUCUCUGCUCCAAAAGAACAUCUAAUUUUUUGUGUGCCUUACUUCUUUAACUAUAACCAGAAAAAUUAAAUUACAUUUAUAAACUUACAGAAAACUACUAUAGCUCACCAAUUUUAUAAAUAAAAACCUUUAAGAAUAUGGAAAUUAUCAACUGUUUCAGCUAUAAGUGCAAGUGGAGGAAAAAAAAAAAGCAUACAUUUGGAUAGCAAACAAGAAUAGAUUAUCUUAGAUAAAAUCAAAACUCGAACACAAAUCAACAACUUUGCUAUAUGAAUUUUCACGAUCCAAAUUACUCCAUUUAAACUGGUCUUAAUUAAAACUCAAAAACAGAAGAAACAAAAAAUUGAAGAUAAAAGAAGGCGUUGUACCUGAGAGAACUAUGAGAGAGACCAUGGAAGAAAAAAUUGGCUCCAUGUAGGAACAUCACAACACCAGUACACCCUAGCACAAAUAAUUCAAACAUCCUUUGGCUGUCGAAAAAUAAAAACUACGUCGGACAGUAUGUUAAUGCUUGAAAAAAAGAGAGCAGAAAUGUUUAUGAUUUUGUUUUUAGAGGGGCUUUAAAUAGAAAAGGACCAAACGGGGAAUAAGGAAGAUGCAUUAUUUGUUGUUGUUUUUUC